ACUGUCGUCUUUCUUUCUCCAGGGUGCCUUUGACUGUCUCCCUUCCGCUAUCCUGCUGCAAAGGAAUAGCAGCACUAGGGACCUGACGUUCUUUGCGGGCAAGGCUGUUGCCAUGAACCGGCAACUAGCCAAGCAAGACGACCUAGAAGAACAGCAGCUGCAGGACUCCCCUCAGGUCGUUACAGCCGGUGCCACAUCCAUGCGCCUCUCCCCUCCCUCCAACUCCAAACUGGCCAAGCGCAGACAGAGGAGUAGCCUGCUGAAAGGAGCACCCGUGUCUGCCUCCGAGCUCAGGCAGCUCCUGGCACCGCUGGUCAUUGUGGGAGACUAUGCUUGAUCGGUUGAGCUGGGCUCCCUGUGAACAAUUUUCCAAUUUCAAAUGGACAAAGUAUCUGAUACCGUUUGUGCAAAUCUCUCUCCGUUUCUUCUGCCCACUUGAAUGAGACCCAGUCCUUUCCUACACAAUGGUUCAGUUUGUGCCUGUUGCAAAUCCAGUUUGCUUCUUUAAGCACUGGAGCAAAAGCUCCUACAGCACUUUGAUCAGCUCUCGACAGCAUAGGAAUUACCUUGAGAGCUCGAGGCGAAUGAACUGGACUCUGUUUAGGACAGAGAUUGGGUUACACAAGCCAUUCGGAAAUUUGUCUAAAGGUAGAGCGUAAAAUACCAGCUCAGACACCAAAGGUCUAAUACCUCCCACCCCCCUUCCCGAACCUCUUUUUGUGCUGCUUCCACUGGAUCCACUGUGAAUUUUCUCUGUGAGAGAUACAACUGCGUUUGUUUUUCAGGAACGUUCUUCCUGUGUGUGUGUGUAUGUGCAUAUAUCCCCCUCCCCUUCAGCAGAUACUGAAGAUACUGGUAUGUGCUUAUGCAACCCUGAUGAAGGCUAUUAUGGCUUGCAUUACUUUAGCAGAGAUCUUGUAUAAGUGGAGCGAAGCUCUGAUAAUAGUGCCUCACCUAACUUAAUGCAUCGCUGUCCUUCCCCCACAGCCUUGUAAUUGCGUCAAGAAAUCCCCCUGACCAUUAAGAAUAGCUAGUUUUUUCUCUGUUAUUCAAGCACUUCCAGAGUGUGUCCUUAUAGCUAGACUAUCCCAGCAGUGUGCUUUCAAGACGUGGGUCCCCCUAGUUGAGGAACUGGUAAAUCCAUUUGAUUUAGGGUGUAUGUGAGGUUUUCCCAAGACUCCAAUUGGAAUUGCUGCAUCAGAUGCAUCCAAACUCCAAACUCCAAACUGUAACGGUUUCCUGUAAAUUUCACCUAAAUUUUAUCAAUAACCGAUAAGAGUGACUAUAAACAUUUCCGAGCACAACUGGGAUUGAGUGCAUGCUGGGAAGCGACCAGAUGGUUGCACAAGCACACGUCUGCCAAUGUGACCACAUGAAUGACGAUGGUCGGUAUCAGAGAGUACCCCACUGUAAGUGGGGUGAUUAUUGUACGGAAAUAUCGAACUAUCAGAUUGUGGAUGCCACCAAAAAGCAAACUAUAUAAAUAUUAAGAGGGGAGGGAGAGAUUAUUUUCAAGUAACAUAAAACAAAAAACAAAAACAAAAAAAAAACGAAAAAGCAUUCCAGCAAAAGUAUAUAUAUAAAAAAAAUCUAAACAAACAAAAAAAAGUCUUCCAAGAAAAUGUAGCUGUAUGAGUGAAAUGGUCUAAGAAAGUUUACUUGGUUUUUUUUUUUUUUAUAUGUUAAUGGUUGACUUCAAUACAGAGUGUGCCACACUGAUGUUUCAAACUUUGUUGAGCUUUGUUUAACUUUUUAUUGAAAGAAUAUUAUUUUCUAUCUUAUUUUUAUGCAGGUGCUGUUCAGGUGGAACGUUUUCCCUUUUUAUAGUUUUGUUACUUUAUUAAUGUUGAUUUAAAUGCUGUAAAGAGCGAGAAGAGUGUAUUUGAAUGUGACCGGAGUUAGGGGGAGAAAGGAAGGAUUAAAACGAAGGAAGGAAAAAAGACGGAGUCAUAUAAUCUGUACAGAUCUGAUGUUUUACUGUUUUUGUUCUUGCGUUGGAAAUGUCUUCAGGGUUGUUUAAACUCCCCUUUUCUCUCAGAAAGCAUUGGUGGCUUGAUCGUUUUAGUAAGACGCAACAAUUUUUGCCAAAGUGCACUCGUUUCUAAAGUCGAAUGCACUGCGGUGUCUGGUAGUGCUGAUCGUGAAUAAGCUUUAGCCUUUCCCAUGCCAAUUCAUAAGACACAGCAUACUUGGUUGAGCUGAGCAUAGACCAUCAUUCCCUCUCCGAGGUGCAGAAAGCAUUUGAGUCCAGACGUCUGGAUUCAGAUUAAGUCUUUAAAAAUUCUGCAAGCAUUAGUGUCACCAAUGGGAGUUCAAAUCACCCAAGCAUAUGAUCCUGUUGAAUGUUUUCAGAGUGUCGCCCGUUCUGUCGUGUUGCUCUUGAGAUGCUUUGAGAAACCUAAUGGCAGUCCUUGGUUUUGAAGGGCCCAUUAUGCUGAUUAUUAUGACACUGAUUGUAACCUUUAUUGAUUUUUGUCUUUCUUUCUUUAAGAAUCUUUUUACAGAUGCAUCUUUGUGGGUUUUUUAUGUCUUAUAGUAAGACUUGAAUUGUAUGUGCAGCGGUUUCCUCAUGUUUUGUUCAAGAAACUUCUUUUGCUACGAUGUACAAAUGGCAAACAAAAAUUUUCAUAAGCUGAGAUUUAAAGCAAUCUUUGGUCUGGAAAGUUCCAUUUCCACCACUUCUGUUCAGUAUUUUAUCUUUCUCCUUGGCUUUGGUAUAUUGCAGGUAUCCCAAGUGUUUGGGUUUGUAUUUUCUGAAGAGUCUGUGGCGCUUGGCUGGUCCUCUAAAGCCUGUGUGCCUCUGACAAAAGAUUCACCACUCUUUUACCCAUAAUAUAGUUAUGGGUUGCCUUGUAUUAACAGAUCUGACUUGGAUUCUCCAAAAAAAAGUGGGGGGAUGACGGAUGUAGAUAGUUCUCAUUCAAUGUUCCUGUUUUACACAGCCCAAUAUUAGCCAUUACAAACAAGUAUCUUAUCCUUUGUUUUCUUUUUCCCCCAACCCAAAGAUAAUUUGGAUAAAUUAUUAUGGGUUUUUUUAUUCAAAAAUUUUUUUUUCCAAUCUAAUGUGAUCCUCUAGUCUGAAGGCUAUUGUUUUUGGGGUGUUGUCAGCAACGCUUAUUAAGAGCACUGUUUAUCCAUUUCCAAAUUCCAAACUUUGUCCAAAAUAAUAAUUGGGGAAAAUCUGAAAUAGGGUCUCAUUUGGGGCAACAGGUAUUGAUUUAAAAAGCACUUUACUGUACCAUGUGGUUGACUGCAGUUCACUCAAAGCUACAUUUAUGACUGUUGUGACAGAAUUUUGUAUUGUUUUGUACAAAACAAACCAACAAAAACGCAAUAAACUGCUUUUAA